CACGUAGGGCGCGAGCGUUUGUCCGGAAUUAUUGGGCGUAAAGAGCUCGUAGGCGGCCUGUUGCGUCCGCUGUGAAAGCCCCGGGGCUUAACCCCGGGUCGGCAGUGGAUACGGGCAGGCUAGAGGUAGGUAGGGGAGAAUGGAAUUCCCGGUGUAGCGGUGAAAUGCGCAGAUAUCGGGAGGAACACCGGUGGCGAAGGCGGUCUCUGGGCCUUACCUGACGCUGAGGAGCGAAAGCGUGGGGAGCGAACGGAU
rnacentral:rRNA from 1 species